GGGGUGUUGGCUCAGAGGUAGAGCUCUCCCCUCACACGGGUGAGACCUUGGGUUCGAUCCUCAGCACCACA
rfam:Ictidomys tridecemlineatus contig055122, whole genome shotgun sequence.